AUAAAUUAAUAAAUAAAUAAAUCCCGUGGAAAAAAAAAAAAAAAACCCAAACCAAACCGAACAGACCUCAAGACCCCGUCGGAGGGCAGACGGUAAAAACAACGAGUUUUCGCCGAGCGGAGCUGUGCGCAUUUCUCUUUUAUUUUUUUGGAGCGAAGAGAAAAAAAAAAAAAGAGAGAGAGAGAGAGAGAGAGAGAAAAAAAAAAAGGCCUCUACAGUCGGUUUGUUGCUUUUUUUUUUUUUUUUUCACGGCCCCGUGGCUGUGAAUAGGUGCCUUCAGCUAAUUUUAUGAAAAGGGGCUCUUUCCAAGGCUAAGGUAGAGUAGGGCUUCCUGUAAGAGAGAGAGAGAGAGAGUGAGCGAGAGAGGGAGGGGGGAAAAAAGUGCUGCUCUUGAUGCAAUCUUUUCCUCCUCCUCCGUCUCCUCCUCCUCCUCCUCCUCCUCCUCCUCCUCCUUGCGAGAGCCCUCAGCCUCUCCCAACCAGCCCCGACACAUCUCCGCACAGCGGGGGGAGCGGGACCUUUGAGGGAGAGAUGAGCUCUUCUGCAUGUCCAGAUGCCUGCUGUUGCUUGGGAUGAUGCAUGUGAGCUUGUGCGGUCUCUUCCCACCGGAGGGCACAGGACACCAUUCUCCAGCAGAUCUGUUCCAGGCAUCUCCUUCUCUCAAGGCAAAGACAACCAGACUUUUAGUCAAACUGGAUAUUUGCUGUGAAGUGACAAUGGCUGAAAUUGGAUACUACAAGGAUGCUCCAAGUGGCUGAUCAGAGUGAGUGGUAUAUUCCUUCUUGUAUUUGCCAUUGUCACGAGCAGAAAAUAGUAUUCAUGUAGGGAGAUUCUUGUGAAGUUGGAGGGAGCAAGAAGAAGAGCCCCAGAUGAGGGAGGGAUGUCACAGAAGCAAAUGCUAUCAUCCUCAGAAAUAAUUUCCCAUUUCAAAUACAGCAGCACUAAUAC
rnacentral:lncRNA from 1 species